GAUGAAUAACGUAGCGAAAUGCGAUACGUAGUGUGAAUUGCAGAAUUCCGUGAAUCAUCGAAUCUUUGAACGCAAAUUGCGCUCGAGGCCUUCGGGUCAAGAGCAUGUCUGUUUCAGCGUCGGCUAUCCAAUCAAACCCCUUUUCUUUUGUGGAAAGAGGCUUUGGAGCUGACUGUCUCCAGCCUGCAUGGGCAGGAGUCUGUCGAAUAGCAUCGGCUAUGGUGACCCAUUUAAGGGGAUCCGGAUUGGUAGGUGACCUUACGGUUACAAAGCCACCGGAGCCCUGGGUGUUGCUGUAGCCUGCAGGAAUCGAGGAGUGCAAGCUCCUUUCCUUUCGACCUGAAAUCAGGCAAGACCACCCGCUGAACUUAAGCAUAUCAAUAAGCGGAGGA
rnacentral:misc_RNA from 1 species